UCAAUACCAGAACUAUAUCCAUUUAUUUUAUUACCUGGUGAAUACUUACUUGAUUAUAAAAUGAGAAGAAUAUUGAUAUAUUUUACCGUUAUAAAUGCGGUCAUCAUCGCGCACGUCGUACCUCUGGUACCUCACAUCCAUAGGGUGGUCUCAAAUGUUCCAACUAUAAUACAACAACAAGAUACAGAAACUGAAAUAAGAAGCCCCAGUACAGAGAUGGA